AUUACCCCCCUGGAAAAAACAGUUGGGAAAGAAUGUCAGGCCAAUUGCCGCGAGCGGCCACGAGAUUUAAGUUUAAGGCAGUGAACCAUUCCACCGAUUCGUUUAACUUUUAGUUAAAAUUUGACACUCCGAUGGUUAUUUUCCCAUCGUGGUUAAAAUUUUACUCCGAAGCCGACCCAUUUGAGUUUUGACAGAUUGAUAGUUAUUCGGAACGAAAUGGAUUUGGCGCCAAUUUUGUCGCGAACAAAGUUUAACUAUCGAACUGUCAAAUCUAACCAUGCUCCGGAGCAGGGUUAUUUUUAACCACGGCGAAAUAACCAUCGAACUGUCAAAUUUUAACUAAAAGUAAAACGAAUCUGUGGAAUGGUUCACAGCCUAAGAAGUAUUUUCUUUCAUUUGAAGGAUUGGAUUACGAUUUAUAAGGAUAUCGAAAAGGUUUAGACUCAACAACUUCUACAAAUAUCAAAUUUCAGAAGCCGGUGGGUUAUCAAGCUACAAUGAGCUCUAUGCAGAAUUCCACUUCGAAAGAUGAGAAUAGUUUAAGGCCUAUACAUACACCAUGUUGCGCCAAUCGUUAACGGUAACCUUUGAAGUUUCGGAAACGACGAAUGUGUACGCUGACGUAAAUGGAGUUAAUGCAUUUCCGUGAUUCACAUGGAGUUGUUACUUUAUAUUUGUAUUCAAUCAAUUUUCAAUAUUUCAUAAGCCGUUUAAAUGAUGUGACUAUUGUAAUGUUAGUCUUUUUGAAAUAAAAUAAUUACUUUGAA